UUUUGUUUAAAAAAAAAAAAAAAAAAAAAAAGAUCAUCUUUAACACAGUCCCUGGGGGAAGAAUUCCUGUAAUGGAAGAAAUAAUCAUGGCUGCUUGUUUUCUUUUAUGGUCUUUUUCACUUCUAUUUAUGCAGCUAUGCUCUUUCUCUUCUUGUAAUUACUUAGCAUAGACCCAUUAGAGACUUCUUUUUUUUCUUGGUUAAAAGUAAUUUAGAAGUGAAUUUUUUUUCGAUGGAA